AAGUACACUGCCUAGUACAUACAGUGAGCUCUUCAUAGAGACCUUCAAGGACAACAGUUGAUUUGCUUUUAUAUUAUGGAUACUGAGUCAUGUGAUUGGAAAUGUUUCCCUUUUUGCAUUGAUAGGAAAAGCUUACAAUCAAAUCUGGGUCUUUCAGCAAAUGAAUCCUGAUGGGUACACAUCACCAGUAGUAGAGGCACACUAGUGAAAUGGUGGGAGGGAAUACAUCUCCUUCUGCUAGAAUGUCAACUCUGCCAGGGCAGGGAGCUUUUUUAGUCUCUGUUUUGCUCAUGG
rnacentral:lncRNA from 10 species